rnacentral:rRNA from 1 species
GACGAACGCUGGCGGCGUGCCUAACACAUGCGAGUAGAACGCUGAAGAGAGGAGCUUGCUCUUCUUGGAUGAGUUGCGAACGGGUGAGUAACGCGUAGGUAACCUGCCUUGUAGCGGGGGAUAAUUAUUGGAAACGAUAGCUAAUACCGCAUAACAAUGGAUGACACAUGUCAUUUAUUUGAAAGGGGCAAUUGCUCCACUACAAGAUGGACUUGCGUUGUAUUAGCUAGUAGGUGAGGUAAUGGCUCACCUAGGCGGCGAAACAUAGCCGACCUGAGAGGGUGAUCGGCCACACUGGGACUGGGACACGGCCCAGACUCCUACGGGAGGCAGCAGGAGGGAAUCUUCGGCAAUGGGGGCAACCCUGACCGAGCAACGCCGCGUGAGUGAAGAAGGUUGUCGGGUCGUAAAGCUCUGUUGUAAGUCAAGAACGGGUGUGAGAGUGGAAAGUUCAGACUGUGACGGUAGCUUACCAAAAAGGGACGGCUAACUACGUG